rnacentral:rRNA from 1 species
GGGUAGUUUGACUGGGGCGGUCUCCUCCCAAAGAGUAACGGAGGAGCACGAAGGUGGGCUAAUCACGGUUGGACAUCGUGAGGUUAGUGCAAUGGCAUAAGCCCGCUUAACUGCGAGAAUGACGGUUCGAGCAGGUGCGAAAGCAGGUCAUAGUGAUCCGGUGGUUCUGUAUGGAAGGGCCAUCGCUCAACGGAUAAAAGGUACUCCGGGGAUAACAGGCUGAUACCGCCCAAGAGUUCAUAUCGACGGCGGUGUUUGGCACCUCGAUGUCGGCUCAUCACAUCCUGGGGCUGAAGUCGGUCCCAAGGGUAUGGCUGUUCGCCAUUUAAAGUGGUACGCGAGCUGGGUUUAGAACGUCGUGAGACAGUUCGGUCCCUAUCUGCCGUGGGCGUUGGAAGAUUGAAGGGGGCUGCUCCUAGUACGAGAGGACCGGAGUGGACGAACCUCUGGUGUUCGGGUUGUGUCGCCAGACGCAUUGCCCGGUAGCUAAGUUCGGAAUUGAUAAGCGCUGAAAGCAUCUAAGCGCGAAGCGAGCCCUGAGAUGAGUCUUCCCUGACAGUUUAACUGUCCUAAAGGGUUGUUCGAGACUAGAACGUUGAUAGGCAGGGUGUGUAAGCGUUGUGAGGCGUUGAGCUAACCUGUACUAAUUGCCCGUGAGGCUUAACCAUACAACACCCAAGGGGUU